rnacentral:rRNA from 1 species
ACUGGUUGAUCCUGCCAGUAAACAUAUGCUUGUUUUAAAGAUUAAGCCAUGCAUGUCUAAGUGUAAAUGACCUACACAGUGAAACUGCGAAUGGCUCAUUAAAUCAGUUAUAGUUCAUUUGAUAGUGACUUCUACUUGGAUAACCGUAGUAAUUCUAGAGCUAAUACAUGCGUCAAACCCGACUUCUGGAAGGGUGUGUUUAUUAGAUACAAAACCAAACCCCACGGGGUGCCGGUGAUUCAUAGUAACUUUCGGAGCGGAGAGCCUCACGGCGCCGCCGAUUCAUUCAAAUUUCUGCCCUAUCAACUGUCGAUGGUAGGAUAGAGGCCUACCAUGGUCGUAACGGGUAACGGAGAAUUAGGGUUCGAUUCCGGAGAGGGCGCCUGAGAGACGGCGGCCACAUCUAAGGAAGGCAGCAGGCGCGCAAAUUACCCAAUCCCGACACGGGGAGGUAGUGACAAGAAAUAACAAAGGGGGGCCUUUACAGGUCUCCUUAUUGGAAUGAGAACGGUUUAAAGACCCUAUCGAGAACCAAUUGGUGGGCAAGCCUGGUGCCAGCAGCCGCGGUAAUACCAGCACCAAUAGCGUAUUUUAAAGUUGUUGCAGUUAAAAAGCUCGUAGUUGGAUUUUGGGCUAACUUCGCUGGUCCGCCGAAUGGUGUGUACUGGUGUGGGUGUGCCUUUCGCCUGGGAGGCAGUGCGGUUCUUAACUGGGUUGUGCUGCGGAUCAGGCCUUUUACUUUGAGAAAAUCAGAGUGUUCAAAGCAGGCUUUUGCACAUGAAUGCUACAGCAUUGAAUAAUAGAAUAGGACUUUGGUUCUAUUUUGUUGGUUUCUAGGACUAGGGUAAUGAUUAAAAGGGAUAGUUGGGGGCAUUAGUAUUGAGGAGCUAGAGGUGAAAUUCUUGGAUUUCCGCAAGACUAACUUCUGCGAAAGCAUUUGCCAAGGAUGUUUUCAUUAAUCAAGAACGAAAGUUAGGGGAUCGAAGACGAUUAGAUACCGUCGUAGUCUUAACCAUAAACGAUGCCGACUAGGGAUCGGGGGAUGUUAUUUUUAUGACACCCUCGGCACCUUAUGAGAAAUCAAAGUUUUUGGGCUCUGGGGGGAGUAUGGUCGCAAGGCUGAAACUUAAAGGAAUUGACGGAGGGGCACCACAAUGGCGUGGAGCCUGCGGCUUAAUUUGACCCAACACGGGACAACUUUCCGGCGUAGGAUUUGGUCAGGAUUGACAGAUUGAGAGCUCUUUCUUGAUUCCAAAGAUGGUGGUGCAUGGCCGUUCUUAGUUGGUGGAAUGCUCUGUCUGCUUAAUUGCGAUAACGAACGAGACCUUCACCUGCUAAAUAGCUACCCGAAUGCAAAUUCGGGGCCAGCUUCUUAGAGGGACUCUGUCCGCUAAGGACAGGGAGGCUGGAGGCAAUAACAGGUCCGUGAUGCCCUUAGAUAUGCCGGGCCGCACGCGCGCUACACUGACGC